rnacentral:lncRNA from 1 species
ACUGAUUUGGUGGUUGCUGCAUUCCGGACGAAUCAGGUGCAGCAGGAACAUGGGGGAUAUUUUGGAAAGGAGGCACAGGGAACCUUGGUCCCAAAUGAGCAGCUGCUGCUGCUGUUGCUGGCAUAGCUGAAUUGGCGGGUAAUAUGUUUUGCAAUGGGAUUAUUUGGCUGUUCUUUUCCGUUCUCAAUUCCAGUACCACUACCCAUCCUGUUGCUGGCAUAGCUGAAUUGGCGGUUAACAUGUUUGGAAAUGGCAUUAUUGGCCUGUUCAUUCCCAUUCCCAUUUCCAUGCCCAUUCCCAUUCCCAUCCCCAUUCCCAUUCCCAUUGGUGGCAUAUACUGU